rnacentral:rRNA from 1 species
GACGAACGCUGGCGGCGUGCCUAAUACAUGCAAGUAGAACGCACAGUUUAUACCGUAGCUUGCUACACCAUAAACUGUGAGUUGCGAACGGGUGAGUAACGCGUAGGUAACCUGCCUGGUAGCGGGGGAUAACUAUUGGAAACGAUAGCUAAUACCGCAUAAUAUUAAUUAUCGCAUGAUAAUUGAUUGAAAGAUGCAAUUGCAUCACUACCAGAUGGACCUGCGUUGUAUUAGCUAGUAGGUGAGGUAACGGCUCACCUAGGCGACGAUACAUAGCCGACCUGAGAGGGUGAUCGGCCACACUGGGACUGAGACACGGCCCAGACUCCUACGGGAGGCAGCAGUAGGGAAUCUUCGGCAAUGGACGAAAGUCUGACCGAGCAACGCCGCGUGAGUGAAGAAGGUUUUCGGAUCGUAAAGCUCUGUUGUAAGAGAAGAACGGGUGUGAGAGUGGAAAGUUCACACUGUGACGGUAUCUUACCAGAAAGGGACGGCUAACUACGU